GCUUUUGAAGGAUAACAGUGAUCCACUGGUCUUAGGAACCACAAAUUCUUGGUGCAAAUCCAAGCAAAAGCU
rnacentral:tRNA from 1 species